AACAUAAGAGGGAGGCAGAACCAGAGCCGAAGUGAACACUGCCCUUCCACUCUGUUCGUCUCCAAUCUGCCCUACUCUUUCACGAAUUCUCAGCUUGAAGAAACAUUCAGCGAUGUUGGACCGGUCAAGCGGUGCUUCAUGGUUAUGCAGAAGGGUAAGAAAGAAAUUUUUGUCCUAGCAGUAGUGGGCAUUAUCAUAUUGGGAGUGUAAAUCAGACUGCUGGAAAUAAAAUUUUUCUAUU